GUGGCAAACAGCUAUCAGCAUCAUUUUUGGUCUCCGUGGUGAGCCUCUUCAGCUCUUCCAAAAGCCCUGAGAAGAUGUCGAGAAGCAGCAGGCCCUGGUCGUUUAUUGCGCUGCUGCUCCUGUUGUUUGUGCUCCUCCAACUCAUCACGGUGCUCGCUCACUCUCAUCAUCCUCAGCGCCGACCAUUUCCCUGUAAGCAAGCCUAGCUCACAAGUGCAUGCUUUAACUUGAGCCUAUCGUGCAGCUGUUCGAUCAAACACACAUGAACAAGCUGUGGUUUAUUCAUGGCUGAGUUCUCUUGUAAACUUGAACAGAGUGCUCUUUUUCAUACUCCUUCGGUACUCUCUCUCUCUCUCUCUGUUAACAAAUAAAAGACGUUUUAGAGACUUGACAAGUCCCUAAAACGUCAUAUAUCUGUUCACAGAGGUACUAUUAGUUUACCACUAUCUUACGCUGUGCUUUUGGAUCUAUGUGCAGGCCACCCUCUCCAUAAAAGGAGCUGCAAAUGAAGUCAGAAACAUCAGCGUUUGCUCCAUCUAGUUUCCCACGAAAUGAAAUAAAAAUAGGAAAGUACCCUGCUUGGGAUCCAACUGUUGGCCAGUUUGUUGGCAGUUACCUCAAAGAUCAGAUUAUUCAAAUGUGCUGACUACUUUGAUGUCAAUCAUGUACUUCUCUUUGGAGGAAUAAUAUUUGACAAUGUAUUUUCUUUCUCACAAUUUAUCAAUCUUGAUUGUGUCUUAAUUCUCGUGGUCUAUCUCCAUAAAAGCAGGCACACACCAAUUCAUG
rnacentral:lncRNA from 1 species